rnacentral:lncRNA from 1 species
ACCUUUGCUAUUCUAUUCUAUUCCCAAUGAAUAUUUUUGAUAGCUGCGGCGUUUUUAUAAAAUGGUUUCUUCUAAUUUUGAAUUUACGUCACAAAUCAAAUCGGCCAUACUCGGUGUCACUCGACAUGAAAAUGGCGGCACUUGAUUCAAAAUUGCUUUUACCGGGUCUCACCUGUCUCACCACACUGUGGUCUCACACAGAUAAUUUAAAAAUACGUUAAUUAUAUGAUUUAAGUAACAAUUGAUACAAGAUUCCGUUUAAGAGUAUCAAAAAUAUAAAAAAACUGGCCCUGGGGCCUGGGAUAAUAAGAUUUUUGGACGAUUUUUAAAUUCAUCAGAAGACUUACUUCAAAUACCAGUGAUUUCAUAGUGAUUCGAAAAAGUAGACUUUAGUUAUUUGAUUUCAUAACUCUCUUUAAAGUCUUGUUUUUUUAGCGGUCGAGUACACUGCGCAUGCUUUUUAGCCGAACUAGUCUACUUGAUAGAAUAGCCGUUUAAAACUACACUUCCUAGUUCGCACUAUGCUAGUAUUUUAGUCGAGUAGCGAGUAGGCGGUAAUUUAGUAUAACUAAACUUCUUGUCUGAAAAACAAAUAUUUAUUCAAGUAGAUUAGUAAGUAGUUUAGUCGAGUCUAUAUCCAUUUAGUUAGUGCGAUGUCAUGCGUUUUGACCAUCUUACGGAACUGUCGUAACAAUACAUAUAUUUAUAAAUUAUAUUUUGUAGUAAAGUGUGUGUAAAUAAACGCUGUGUCUAGGUACACGCUAACGUGUACGCAAAUAAAAAAGUUAGGUACACGCGAAUUAAACUUCAUCAAGCCAGUGACGUCAUUAUUUAGCGUGCGCAGUGACUUUAUAUUUUGGUGCACGCUAUUUUGAUAUGUGUAGGCCCGGUACUUUAUGUCUCUGUCUAAAUUAGACAAUAUAUAUAAAUUAUAUAGCAUCAUAGCGGAGCAAAGGGCAUAUCAGUGUUUCAAUAGUAGUAAAUAGUAGAAGCAAAAGGUUUGAUGGUAGGAAUAGGGUUGCUGGCCUCACGCAUCUUUUAAGUUUUCAACGUAGGUUGAAGUUUUCAACAGGGAUGUAGGUUCCUUUUCGCAGGGAGGCAAUAUCUUCCUAAAAUAAGAUCUUGAAGAAGCUUCAUUUCUAUUCCGGUUAUCAUCAUUGAUGGAGAAUAGCAUGUUGCUUGUUGCUUCAUGUUCGGAAUUUCUGUAGGCUAUUGCCACUAGCGCGCUAGCGCCACCUGUCGGCUUGAAGUGAAACUACGUUUUGAAAAUGUAAAAUUUGAGGUAAAGAUUCAAAUUUAAUUUUAUAAAUAUUUGAAUAACGAGCUAAUUUUGCUAAAUUAAAUUAAAAUAAAAAUAGUUCAAACACUUAUACAAAAACAAUAAUAAAGCAAUUUUAUGAAUGUAAGGUUAGAUUGCUCUGGUUAUCACCGCACACCACUAGAUGGCGCUAUAUUGUUUGCUUCCUCAAAGGUAAUGGGAAAUUUCAAGAGUUGUAUGUAUUACAGUCAAUAGUAUUUGUUCACAGUCAUUGGGUGCGUUCGGACGACCACAGCGGCUGGACAGCUGGCUGAGCCAGCAGUAGCUGUCAGACGUCACCGCUGGAAGCCAGCCGCGGGAGCCGCGGAGAGAUUUUACUAAGCUUUCCCUAUCACGGCUGGAUACCUUAGCUGGAUACAACCACUCAGCCGAUUUCUGCUGACCGCCAGCCGCUAUGGUCGUCCGAACGCACCCAUUUGUUUCGAGCUUCUUUCAUAUGUUGUAUAAUCCGUGUAUAUUGUUAUUAUCCACGAAUUAUGCGACAUUUGACAGAAGCUGGAAACAAAACGAGAAUCUAAUUCGCACACUUUAACCAACGUUGCCAAGUCGCUAAAAUCUCGAACUUUGACACCAAUUUGACAAUUGACAGAUGAUCGACGGUAAAUUGUAAAUAUAAAUAAUCUUGAAAUAUAAAAUAAAACUUAUAUUUUAUAUUUAUAUUCUAAGAAAUAAAUCAAAUCCAAAUCAUAUAUCCUAACAACAAUAACUAAGUCGGGAACGGGACCAAUGGAUAAAAGCCAAAAAAAGGAAAACAGAUCUAAAAUUAAACCUCAAUCAACGCCAAAACAUAGUGUACCAAAGCCAGGCAAUAAAAAGAAAUGGUGAUCUAGAACGCAAGGAAAUAGCUGAUAAAAGAAAUAAAAGUGAAGAAAAUAAUGCUGAGACUUCUCUCGACCAUGAACAAACACCACUAACACCAGAUAUUUUAAAUGUAGGAACAGGAGAAACUGCUGGAACUUAACACAAAGGGGUUUGACUAGUGAAGAUUUGGAUAAACAAAAGGAAUUACUUUGGGCUAUAGCUACAUGCAGGUUUAUUUCCUUGUGGCUUCCUAUGUAUAUUCUUAUGAACUUAUACACUUUGAUAUGUUUUUAGUCUCAUGAAGAUUUUAUAAUUUAUUAUUUUAUUUAUAUUGUUAUAUUUAUGAUGAAUAAACAUUAUUAUUAUUACGGUAAUUUCCGUAAUAAAAUUUAAAUAAAUUAACUGUAAUCAAUAAACCGUUUUUAAUGUUAAUAAAUUAUCAAUAAUGA